GGCUGGACAAUGGUAUGCUAGAGCAUGUGGGCUUUGUCCCAUUGCUGAUGAAGAGAAGAUAAGGAGUGCACUUGAGAAGAUUUACAACUUCAAUGUGAUGAAGGUGAAGGGAGGAACGCGAGGGGCAGUGAACGGGAUGUUUCCAGAUGGAAGAGUUGAUAAAUCGAUAUUGCAGCCAAAGGAGAUUUGGGCUGGAGUUACAUACUCUGUUGCUGCCUCUAUGAUUCAAGAAGGAUUGGUGGAAACCGGCUUCCAGACUGCAAUGGGAAUUCAUCAAGCGGCU
rnacentral:misc_RNA from 1 species